rfam:Paenibacillus sabinae T27, complete genome.
GCAAGGGUGAGGUGGAAUCUGAAGGAAGCUGGCGGCAAAUCUCCGGUCUGAGGAAGCAGAUAGAUGGAGAGGAUUCCCUA